rnacentral:lncRNA from 1 species
CACCAUGAGCUUGCCCCCUGACCAGCCGGCAACGUCACCUUUUCUAGGCUUGUGAGCCAUUCCGCGCACGCACAUGUAUGGUGGGGAGUGUGGUGUUUGUGUGGACUGUUGACGGAGGAGGAGCCUUGGGGGUUGGUGCUGUACCUCUUCAGUUCCUUUUCUUCUUCAUCAUUUACUCCUUCCGUAGCUCUUUAGGCCUUAUAUUCUAUAUCAUUUAAUCCUUUCGUAGCUUUCCCUUUGUUCAAGGAGGAAAGAAAAGGUUCAGAGGAAGGGUGCCAAUGCAAAGAUUUCCUGUCCAAGGAGGAGAAAUUAAGAUGGGUGCAUCCUUCGGGGGUGGUGGAAGAAGCCUUUUCAUAUAGCUGCAAAAGAAAACAAGCUGGUUCCAUUGGGAACAAAACAAAGCUCUCAUAAACGAGCCAAGACUCCACACUAGAGUCUUGUAAAAUAAAAAGAGCUCCGGCUUGGCUCGACAACAAGCUCGAUUAGGAUCAUUCUGUCGAGGUUUACUCGAGUUUUAUUUUUGAAUUUUACGUUGCUAUAACUAGCUAGGUAAGCCAGAGCAAUCCAAAAGCUUCGCUUGAUCGGCAUUGUUUGCAGCACUAUGGCUAUUUUCUUACCAAUUAAUAAAGCUCGGCAGAUCACUAAGCCGUCGUUAUUUAUCUUCCAACCAACUAGAGUUACUAUAGCAUUCCAUUGAUGAGGAAUCCUACUGUUACCUUCCUUUUGGAUGGUCCUGACCUAAUGGCUUUUAUAGUCUCUCUCUCUCUCUCUC